rnacentral:rRNA from 1 species
UACGGGGGGGGCAAGCGUUGUUCGGAAUUACUGGGCGUAAAGGGCUCGUAGGCGGCCAACUAAGUCAUACGUGAAAUCCCUCGGCUUAACCGGGGAACUGCGUCUGAUACUGGAUGGCUUGAGAUUGGGAGAGGGAUGCGGAAUUCCAGGUGUAGCGGUGAAAUGCGUAGAUAUCUGGAGGAACAUCAGUGGCGAAAGCGGCUUCCUGGACCAGCACCGACGUUCAGGCACGAAAGCGUGGGGAGCAAACAGG